CUAGCGAUUCCCAAGGCUUGCCAGGCUAUGGCCCAAAAUAGCUGAAUUGUUGCCUCAUAGCCUCUAGAUUGUACUCGACGCCAUACGGAACCGUUCUGCAACUCAAAUGAUGCCGGCCCUCAUGGUGGAUUUCUGGCGUGUGCAAGGUAGUUUGUUCCGCACCUCUGUACGGAGGACGUGUUUCAAACGACCAUAUUCCAAUCCCUAUAUUUCAGAGAGCGUUCUAUGACCACUCAGCGUUCCGUCACAUCGGCGGUGACAGGGUGGGCACUGCUUAUUUGGAUCGUCAGGCAGCGAAGAUCCUGCGUGCACAUGUUCUGAUAGCUUCGAGACUACCCACA
rnacentral:sRNA from 1 species